rnacentral:rRNA from 1 species
GAUGAACGCUGGCGGCGUGCCUAAUACAUGCAAGUCGAGCGAACAGACGAGGAGCUUGCUCCUUCGACGUUAGCGGCGGACGGGUGAGUAACACGUAGGUAACCUACCUAUAAGACUUGGAUAACUUCGGGAAACCGGAGCUAAUACCGGAUAAUAUUUCGAACCGCAUGGUUCGAUAGUGAAAGAUGGCUUUGCUAUCACUUAUAGAUGGACCUGCGCCGUAUUAGCUAGUUGGUAAGGUAACGGCUUACCAAGGCAACGAUACGUAGCCGACCUGAGAGGGUGAUCGGCCACACUGGAACUGAGACACGGUCCAGACUCCUACGGGAGGCAGCAGUAGGGAAUCUUCCGCAAUGGGCGAAAGCCUGACGGAGCAACGCCGCGUGAGUGAUGAAGGUCUUCGGAUCGUAAAACUCUGUUAUUAGGGAAGAACAAACGUGUAAGUAACUGUGCACGUCUUGACGGUACCUAAUCAGAAAGCCACGGCUAACUACGUG